GGCCAAGUUUUUAAGGGCGCACGGUGGAUGCCUUGGCACCAGGAACCGAUGAAGGACGUGGGAGGCCACGAUAGUCCCCGGGGAGUCGUCAACCAGGCUUUGAUCCGGGGGUUUCCGAAUGGGGAAACCCGGCAGUCGUCAUGGGCUGUCACCCGCUGCUGAACACAUAGGCAGUGUGGAGGGAACGCGGGGAAGUGAAACAUCUCAGUACCCGCAGGAAGAGAAAACAACCGUGAUUCCGGGAGUAGUGGCGAGCGAAACCGGAUGAGGCCAAACCU
rnacentral:rRNA from 1 species